rnacentral:lncRNA from 1 species
CUGAAAAGCCGACCUACAUGCAGAGAAAGGCGGGAGGGGCUGCUGGGAGAAGUCUGCUGGAGCUUGUUCAUGCUGAGAGGUUGGGGGUGUGAUUUGAGGUGCGGAAGACCUACUUAAAACCUGAGAGUCUCGAAUAGGAGAGGCGCUUUCAGAUCAGCCCGAGUCUUCUGCAGCGCACAGGAGCUAGUCGUACUGAAAAGAAUGAAGUUGGACUUGUCCAGGCGAGUUUCGGACAGUGCUGGGCUGCCCUGCUCUGAUCUCCUGGGUGUCUUCACCUCCUCUGGUUCCUAAGUCGGCUGCUGCACCAGCACCCAUCAAACUCUCCUGGAAGAGGAAGUGACAGCUCACCGGUAGCCUAGAAGGCCCCUGUGGGCAGAAGCAUGGACUUACUCCUCCUCAUGGAGAUGCGGCUGAGCCAUAUUUCCUUGGCACCUCUCUGGAACCUUCGACAACCACCACCUCAGACACUAACCAGACUUUAGGUCCAUUCCUUUCAUGGCUAAAAUGAGACAGUCCACAAUGUUGAUUUUAUUUGUAGGGGAUGUCAGGAUUCCAGAAAAGCAGACUUGGAAAGCAACAAAACGUUAACUUGCAGCUCACUGAGGCCCUUACACUUGUUCUGGGCACCUCUGUAUGUUAAAAGAAGUCCAAUAUCUUUAGCUGCUGGUUAUAGGUGGCCAUAUGUUUCUGCACAGAAAUGGGGCUCCCCUUGCUAGACUAAUUUUCUAAUUUUUCCUCAAGCUUCAUUGAUUCAUAUUCUUCUACUUGACCCUGACUGUCAGGACCAACAACACCAAAUAACACCAAAGUCUCUUGCUCCUGUCCUCAGAACCUCUCAGAGGCAUCCUCUGCCCUGUUGGAGCCAUUUUAUUUCAGGUUGAUCCUUAAUUAAAUUCAGCGAGAUGCAGGA